rnacentral:rRNA from 1 species
GGGCCCGCACAAGCGGUGGAGUAUGUGGUUUAAUUCGAUGCAACGCGAAGAACCUUACCAGGGUUUGACAUCCUGCGAAUCUCUUGGAAACAGGAGAGUGCCUUCGGGAACGCAGUGACAGGUGGUGCAUGGCUGUCGUCAGCUCGUGUCGUGAGAUGUUGGGUUAAGUCCCGCAACGAGCGCAACCCACGUCUUUAGUUGCCAGCAUUUAGUUGGGCACUCUAGCGAGACCGCCGGUGAUAAACCGGAGGAAGGUGUGGAUGACGUCAAGUCAUCAUGCCCCUUACAUCCUGGGCUACACACGUACUACAAUGGUUAAGACAAAGAGUCGCGAGGACAAGCAAAUCCCAUAAACCGUGGCUCAGUUCAGAUCGUAGGCUGCAACUCGCCUACGUGAAGGAGGAAUCGCUAGUAAUCGC